rnacentral:rRNA from 1 species
UGGGGGAUAUUGCACAAUGGGCGAAAGCCUGAUGCAGCGACGCCGCGUGGGUGAUGAAGGCCUUCGGGUUGUAAACUUCUUUUGCUCUGAACAAGGCAUGCCUUUGGGGUGUGUUGAGUGUAGGGGUUGAUUAGCGCCGGCUAACUACGUGCCAGCAGCCGCGGUAAUACGUAGGGCGCGAGCGUUGUCCGGAAUUAUUGGGCGUAAAGGGCUUGUAGGUGGCUGGUUGCGUCUGUCGUGAAAGCUCAUGGCUUAACUGUGGGUUUGCGGUGGGUACGGGCUGGCUUGAGUGCAGUAGGGGAGGCUGGAAUUCCUGGUGUAGCGGUGGAAUGCGCAGAUAUCAGGAGGAAUACCGGUGGCGAAGGCGGGUCUCUGGGCUGUUACUGACGCUGAGGAGCGAAAGCGUGGGGAGCGAACAGG